CAGUUGGAGUUUACUUCAGGCAAGAACUUUCAGUGAUGGAAGAAAAUUAAAACAGUAAAACUUGGACCUUCCUCAGGACAUGCUUGAAAAACAAAGGAAAUUUACACUCAUCUAUAUCAAUUUGAGAAUCUUCAAUGCUACAAUCAAAUAUUCUAAGUGGGAAAAUAUUAUAAAGUCAUUCAAGAAAAUCACUGCUAGAGCAGAGGCAUGAGGCUAUCUUCACCAUGAGAAACUGGUAGGACUCCUGAAGGUAAAACCCUUGUAAGUGUGGGGACCUUCAGGAAUGCAUUUCCCAGAGAUGACUCUUGUUAGAUCACAGAAAGCCUUCGGCAUUUGACCAAAUUACUAUUGGAGUGUUCUCAGCAGACUGUAGCUCUAGCAACUACUAUUCCAGGUGGCACUAGUGGUAAAGAACCUGCCUGUCAAUGCAGGAGACGUAAGAGACUCGGGUUGGA